CUGGCCUCUUCCCAUCGCUAUGUUACCUGCCCGGAGCCUGCAUGCAUUUGAGGUUUCCCCUCUAGCUGUCAAGGAAGGAAGAGAAGUCAUUGCAGAUGGAUCCACUGAAACACCAUGGAUUCUUAGGCUCCUCUGACCCCAGAUCACAUCACCAGAAGUCAAGUCUACCCACCUGGGACCAAAUUCAGGCCCUGUGCACCAAGGGAGAAGAUAUUCUGCUAAUGACUCUGUGUUUAUGAAUGGACCUUGGGACUGCAAUAGACUCAUUCAUCAGUCUGGAGAAGGGACUGCAUUUAGUUUUUCCUUGGGAUUUAAAUCACUUCCUAUUUGUACAGGACAUCAUAACAUUUGUACUCCUAUUAAAGCCAAAUAUAGGCUUAUGUUCUAUAAGAGACCAGAACUACUAAUCAUAUGGGUUCUCUAGAUUUUUCUACUCAAUAUAAUAAUGUAAACAAUAGUACCAAACAUAGUUUGGGUCUUGGUGGCAGAGUAUUACACACAAUACUUUCAUUGUUCUAUUAUUCAUUGUGUUUCUAAUUUUCUUGCUUAUAGGAUACUCAGGCCUCAAAUGACAAUUAGAUUUCUCUACAACAUCUUAAGUCAAAGCCACUCUGAAUAUCCUGUUAUUAAGAAAUAAAUAAGGAGGAGAUGUUGGAACACUGUCCGAGAAUAGUCACGUAAGGAGAUUUCUGAGAAAACUCCAAUAAAAUAAGAAUUUUGUGACCUUAGUUUCUUCAAAACAUGGCAUUGUUCUUAGGCUAUGUUUUCCUGCCUGUCUCAGGUGUAGUGGGUUUACUUCAGAUUAUUCACGCAGCUGGCUAUUGUUAUUUGUUUAUAUGCCUCUAUGGAAAACAUGUGUCUGUCAUGUGCAGCUUGCUACCAUGUGUGGCUUGCUCUUGUGAUUGCACACUUUACUCACGUGACUUCUCGUAGCCCUCAGAAAAUGAACUGUGUGAUGCUCCAAAUAAAGCUUAUUAUUGCAU